rnacentral:rRNA from 1 species
UACGUAGGUGGCGAGCGUUGUCCGGAAUUACUGGGUGUAAAGGGCGUGUAGGCGGGACUGUAAGUCAGAUGUGAAAUUCCAGGGCUUAACUCUGGAGCUGCAUCUGAAACUAUAGUUCUUGAGUGCUGGAGAGGAAAGCGGAAUUCCUAGUGUAGCGGUGAAAUGCGUAGAUAUUAAGGAGGAACACCAGUGGCGAAGGCGGCUUUCUGGACAGUAACUGACGCUGAGGCGCGAAAGCGUGGGGAGCAAACAGG